AUUGAACGCUGGCGGCAGGCCUAACACAUGCAAGUCGAGCGGAUGAAGGGAGCUUGCUCCUGGAUUCAGCGGCGGACGGGUGAGUAAUGCCUAGGAAUCUGCCUGGUAGUGGGGGAUAACGUCCGGAAACGGGCGCUAAUACCGCAUACGUCCUGAGGGAGAAAGUGGGGGAUCUUCGGACCUCACGCUAUCAGAUGAGACUAGGUCGGAUUAGCUAGUUGGUGGGGUAAAGGCCUACCAAGGCGACGAUCCGUAACUGGUCUGAGAGGAUGAUCAGACACACUGGAACUGAGACACGGUCCAGACUCCUACGGGAGGCAGCAGUGGGGAAUAUUGGACAAUGGGCGAAAGCCUGAUCCAGCCAUGCCGCGUGUGUGAAGAAGGUCUUCGGAUUGUAAAGCACUUUAAGUUGGGAGGAAGGGCAGUAAGUUAAUAUCUUGCUGUUUUGACGUUACCAACAGAAUAAGCACCGGCUAACUUCGUG
rnacentral:rRNA from 1 species